AUUUAUAUAGUUUAAAUAAAACAUUACAUUUUCAAUGUAAAAAUAAAUUAAUUUUUUUUAUAAAUA
rnacentral:tRNA from 1 species